CCUACGGGAGGCUGCAGUGGGGAAUAUUGCACAAUGGGGGAAACCCUGAUGCAGCGACGCCGCGUGAGUGAAGAAGUAUUUCGGUACGUAAAGCUCUAUCAGCAGGGAAGAAAAUGACGGUACCUGACUAAGGAGCCCCGGCUAACUACGUGCCAGCAGCCGCGGUAAUACGUAGGGGGCAAGCGUUAUCCGGAUUUACUGGGUGUAAAGGGAGCGUAGACGGCAGCGCAAGUCUGGAGUGAAAUCCCAUGGCUUAACCAUGGAACUGCUUUGGAAACUGUGCAGCUAGAGUGCAGGAGAGGUAAGCGGAAUUCCUAGUGGAGCGGUGAAAUGCGUAGAUAUUAGGAGGAACACCAGUGGCGAAGGCGGCUUACUGGACUGUAACUGACGUUGAGGCUCGAAAGCGUGGGGAGCAAACAGGAUUAGAUACCCGAGUAGUC
rnacentral:rRNA from 1 species